rnacentral:rRNA from 1 species
UACAGAGGUCCCAAGCGUUGUUCGGAUUCAUGGGCGUAAGGGUGCGUAGGCGGCGCGGUAAGUCGGGUGAUGAAAUCGUCCGGGCUUAACUCCGAAACUGCAUUCGAUACUGCCGUGCUUGAGGACUGGAGAGGAGACUGGAAUUUACGGUGUAGCGGUGAAAUGCGUAGAUAUCGUAAGGAAGACCCAGUGGCGAAGGCGGGU